rnacentral:rRNA from 1 species
GAUGAACGCUGGCGGCGUGCCUAAUACAUGCCAGUCGAGCGAACAGAUGAGGAGCUUGCUCCUCUGACGUUAGCGGCGGACGGGUGAGUAACACGUGGAUAACCUACCUAUAAGACUGGGAUAACUUCGGGAAACCGGAGCUAAUACCGGAUAAUAUAUUGAACCGCAUGGUUCAAUAGUGAAAGACGGUUUUGCUGUCACUUAUAGAUGGAUCCGCGCCGCACUAGCUAGUUGGUAAGGUAACGGCUUACCAAGGCAACGAUGCGUAGCCGACCUGAGAGGGUGAUCGGCCACACUGGAACUGAGACACGGUCCAGACUCCUACGGGAGGCAGCAGUAGGGAAUCUUCCGCAAUGGGCGAAAGCCUGACGGAGCAACGCCGCGUGAGUGAUGAAGGUCUUCGGAUCGUAAAACUCUGUUAUUAGGGAAGAACAAAUGUGUAAGUAACUAUGCACGUCUUGACGGUACCUAAUCAGAAAGCCACGGCUAACUACGUG